GGGUUGAUGAAGGCCUGUGCCCGGCCCCCUCCCCAACUCUGCUCUGCUCCUGAAG
rnacentral:ncRNA from 12 species